UGUAGCUCAGUGGUAGAGUGCUUGCCUUGCAUGCAUGAGACCCUGGGUUCGAUCCAUAGCA
rnacentral:tRNA from 1 species